rnacentral:lncRNA from 1 species
AUGGGUAUCUAUAUGAGGUCUUCAAAUUCGAUCAGAGGCCUGCGACUUCAUCGGGGUGCUAGUGCCCUUAUAGAAGCUGCCUCCUGAUGGUUGAUCAAACACCUCCUUCUGAGCUCUCUGAUUCUCUUAGAGAUAAAGAAGAACUUGAAGGAAAAAAAUGUGGAGGAGGAAGAAGAAAACUUUUGAGAAAAUCCUUUUCUUUUUUUUUUCUCUCUUUCCAAAACCCUAACGCUAAGAAGGGAUGACACCAAGAUACCUCACCCCCCAAAAGAAAAAUGCACUCCUUUCUUCUUAUUUUUUUACCAUGAAAAUUAGAUUUUUCAUCACCUUUUACGCACA